rnacentral:rRNA from 1 species
GAUGAACGCUGGCGGCGUGCCUAAUACAUGCAAGUCGAGCGAACGGACGAGAAGCUUGCUUCUCUGAUGUUAGCGGCGGACGGGUGAGUAACACGUGGAUAACCUACCUAUAAGACUGGGAUAACUUCGGGAAACCGUAGCUAAUACCGGAUAAUAUUUUGAACCGCAUGGUUCAAAAGUGAAAGACGGUCUUGCUGUCACUUAUAGAUGGAUCCGCGCUGCAUUAGCUAGUUGGUAAGGUAACGGCUUACCAGGGCAACGAUGCAUAGCCGACCUGAGAGGGGGGUGGGGCACACAGGAAGGGGACAGAGGCCCGGCCCCGAAGGGGAGGCAAGGGAGGGGAAUGUCCGACAGGGGGCGAAGCCGUGGCGGGACACCGCCGCGGGGGGGAGGAGAGGUCUGGGUUCGUAAACUUCUUUUUUUAGGAAAGAAAAAAUGUGAAAGUAUUGGGGCACAUGUGACGGGACCCGAAGAAGAAGCCCCGGCUAAAUACGUG